rnacentral:tRNA from 1 species
CAGGGUUUAGUUAAAUACGCAGAAUAUCUCCCUUACAACGAGAAGGUAUCCGUUCAAAUCGGAUCACCCUGA